rnacentral:piRNA from 1 species
UGAUAAGACCCGUGCUGCUACUGAAUC